GACGAACGCUGGCGGCGUGCCUAAUACAUGCAAGUAGAACGCUGAAGGAGGAGCUUGCUUCUCUGGAUGAGUUGCGAACGGGUGAGUAACGCGUAGGUAACCUGCCUGGUAGCGGGGGAUAACUAUUGGAAACGAUAGCUAAUACCGCAUAAUAGCAGUUGUUGCAUGACAACUGUUUGAAAGGUGCAAAUGCAUCACUACCAGAUGGACCUGCGUUGUAUUAGCUAGUUGGUGGGGUAAAGGCUCACCAAGGCGACGAUACAUAGCCGACCUGAGAGGGUGAUCGGCCACACUGGGACUGAGACACGGCCCAGACUCCUACGGGAGGCAGCAGUAGGGAAUCUUCGGCAAUGGACGGAAGUCUGACCGAGCAACGCCGCGUGAGUGAAGAAGGUUUUCGGAUCGUAAAGCUCUGUUGUAAGAGAAGAACGAGUGUGAGAGUGGAAAGUUCACACUGUGACGGUAUCUUACCAGAAAGAGACGGCUAACUACGUG
rnacentral:rRNA from 1 species